rnacentral:rRNA from 1 species
UCAAGUUACAAAGGGCGUAUGGUGGAUGCCCAGGCACUUAGAGCCGAAGAAGGACGCAGCGAGCGGCGAAACGCUCCGGGGAGUCGCAAGCAGACGUAGAUCCGGAGAUCUCCGAAUGGGGAAACCCGCUUAAGGUAAUACUUAAGCAUCCCAUGGUGAACACAUAGCCAUGGGAGGGGAAACCGCGUGAACUGAAACAUCUAAGUAGCGCGAGGAAAAGAAAGAAACAUCGAUUUCCUAAGUAGCGGCGAGCGAAAAGGAAAGAGCCCAAACCAUCACCGCAGGUGAUGGGGUUUAGGACCACGAGAAGGUAUAUGGAGUGAAGCCGAACAGACCUGGGAAGGCAGGCCAAAGAAGGUGAAAGCCCUGUAGGCGUAAGCUUUAAAUACCGAGUGGGAUCCAGAGUACCACAGGAUAGGCAACCCGGUGGGAAGACGGGAGGACCAUCUCCCAAGGCUAAAUACUCCUAAGUGACCGAUAGCGCAAAGUACCGUGAGGGAAAGGUGAAAAGAACCCCGGGAGGGGAGUGAAAGAGAACCUGAAACCAUAUGUCCACAAGCAGUGGAAGUCCGGCACUCAACUGAACAUGUUAGAGAGAAGAAAAAAAGAACUAGCGUGUCCAGUUGAGAGCCGGACGACCACGUACUUUUUGUAGAACGGACCGGCGAGUUAUAGAUAUGCAGCGAGGUUAAGCGAAAGCGGAGCCGAAGCGAAAGCGAGUCUUAAGAGGGCGAAAGUUGCAUAUCAUAGACCCGAAACCGUGCGACCUACCCAUGAUCAGGGUGAAGCCGGAGUAAGAUCUGGUGGAGGCCCGAACCACGUUGACGUUGAAAAGUCAUGGGAUGAAUUGUGGGUAGCGGAGAAAUUCCAAUCGAGCUCGGAGAUAGCUGGUUCUCCCCGAAAUAGCUUUAGGGCUAGCCUCAGGGGUGAAAAAUAUGGAGGUAGAGCACUGAAUGGACUAGGGGCCAAAAAGGUUACCGAACCCUAUCAAACUCCGAAUGCCAUAUUGAGAACCCUGGGAGUCAGACUACGAGUGAUAAGAUCCGUGGUCAAAAGGGAAACAGCCCAGACCGACAGCUAAGGUCCCAAAGAGCAUGUUAAGUGGAAAAGGAAGUAGGAUUUCCAAGACAACCAGGAUGUUGGCUUAGAAGCAGCCAUACAUUCAAAGAGUGCGUAAUAGCUCACUGGUCGAGAAAUCCCGCGCCGAAAAUAAACGGGGCUAAAACAUGCCACCGAAGCUACGGAUUCAUAAUGAAUGGUAGGGGAGCGUACUGUACAGGGAGAAGGAUAAGCGAAAGCGAAUCUGGACAGUACAGUAGAGAGAAUGCCGGUAUAAGUAACGAGAGUAAGGCGAGAAACCUUACCGUCGAAAGCCUAAGGAUUCCUGGGGAAGGAUAAUCCGCCCAGGGUAAGUCGGGACCUAAGCCGAGGCGAAAGCGUAGGCGAUGGAGAACCGGUAAUAAAUCCGGUACCACCGAAAUCCGCUAAAAGAGAAGCAAGGACGCAGCGAGAUAAGAAAAGCGUGCGGUUGGUAGAGCACGUCCAAGCAGCGACGAAAAGAGCUUUGAGUGAAGUACCAAAGCUCAUAAGAGCUGUGAAGGGGAGCCGAAAGGCGAAGUUUCGAAGGGGCUGCCAAGAAAAGUUGCUAUCGAGGAUAGAGGUGCCCGUACCAGAAACCGACACAGGUAGGCGAGGAGAGAAUCCAAAGACGAGCGGGAGAACCCUCAUUAAGGAACUCGGCAAAAAGACUCCGUAACUUCGGGAGAAGGAGUGCCGAAAGGCCGCAGAGAAGAGGCCCAAGCGACUGUUUACCAAAAACACAGGUUUCUGCUAAGUCGAAAGACGAAGUAUAGGAGCUGACGCCUGCCCGGUGCUGGAAGGUUAAGGGGAAGGUCAGGAGGAAAUCCAAAGCUCUGAACUUAAGCCCCAGUAAACGGCGGCCGUAACUAUAACGGUCCUAAGGUAGCGAAAUUCCUUGUCGGGUAAGUUCCGACCUGCACGAAAGGCGUAACGACUUGGGCGCUGUCUUGAUGGGGGACCCGGUGAAAUUGUAGUACUCGUGAAGAUGCGAGUUACCCGCGACAGGACAGAAAGACCCCAUGGAGCUUUACUGCAGCUUGUCACUGAAUUUUAGUAAUAUCUGUACAGGAUAGGUGGGAGGCGGAGAAAGAUGGGCGCAAGCCUAUCUGGAGCCGACGUUGGGAUACCACCCUGAUAUUACCGAAAUUCUAACAUAGGAGCCGUAAGCCGGCAUAUGGACACUGACAGGCGGGCAGUUUGACUGGGGCGGUCGCCUCCCAAAGAGUAACGGAGGCGUCCAAAGGUUACCUCAGCGCGGAAGGAAAUCGCGCGUAAGAGUGCAAAGGCAGAAGGUAGCCUAACUGCGAGAAAGACAAUUCGAGCAGGGACGAAAGUCGGGCUUAGUGAUCCGGCGGUAGAGAAUGGGAUUGCCGUCGCUCAACGGAUAAAAGCUACCCUGGGGAUAACAGGCUGAUCUCCCCCAAGAGUCCACAUCGACGGGGAGGUUUGGCACCUCGAUGUCGGCUCAUCGCAUCCUGGGGCUGAAGUAGGUCCCAAGGGUUGGGCUGUUCGCCCAUUAAAGCGGUACGCGAGCUGGGUUCAGAACGUCGUGAGACAGUUCGGUCCCUAUCCGUCGCGGGCGUAGGAAAUUUGAGAGGAACUGCCCUUAGUACGAGAGGACCGGGGUGGACAAACCGAUGGUGUACCAGUUGCGAAGCCAUUCGCACAGCUGGGUAGCCAAGUUUGGAAGGGAUAAACGCUGAAAGCAUCUAAGCGUGAAACCCACCUCAAGAUAAGAUUUCCCAUCUGGCACUCAACUAUACUUACUGAAGGAAAAAAGCACUAUGUACAAAUGUUAGGGAAUGAAAUAAAAUAGAUUACAGUAGGUAGAGUUGAGUGCCAGAGUAAGACACCUUGGAGAAGACGAGGUAGAUAGGCCGGAGGUGUAAGAGUAGAAAUACUUUGAGCUGACCGGUACUAAUAAGUCGAGGACUUGACCAA